NNNNNNNNNNNNNNNNNNNNNNNNNNNNNNNNNNNNNNNNNNNNNNNGCCUCCAGCAGAAUGUAUGGCACAGAUUAAUAUGUGUGUGAGCAUACCUGUAUGCACUGUCAGAAAUCUGCUUGAUUCAGUCUCCUGGAAUUAAAGGCAUGUACUACCUUGCCUGGGCCUAAAUUCUCAUGGCUAUUAUACUUCAAGAUCCGGAUCAAAAGUGAGUGUCAUCCCAUGUCAAGAUUCAAGUCAGAAGCCUGUAUCUUCCAGCCUCAAGAUCUAUAUCACAGUUAUGUCCUCCAUUUCUGGGUUAUAGUUCAUUUCAGAUAUAGUCAAGCUGACCAAGAGUAAUAGUCAUAUAUGAACUUUCAGCAACAGGUGAAUACAGCAGAGGAAGAGAUCUGCAAUCUAGUGGGUAAUAUAACCCACUUCAUGUAUGUAAUCCUUUUUCUUCUGCCACUCACUCAUUAUACAGUGGGCUCACAAACAAAGUGCAUGUGGUGGAAGAGAUGGAGUUAUGCAUAGGCUUAACAAUUUUUACUUUUCAAAUCUGAUGGGACUACAGCUAGUACUAAGUGCUAGAAACAUCAGAAAAGAUAAAAUGUGAGAUAUCAGGGUGACCAGCUAGACAUCUGGGGGUAGUUAACUACACGGGAUCACUCCCUAUAUGGAAAGGGCAAACCUUUUUUUUUAUAUAGGAAUAAAAUAGCCUCUUGAUAUAUUUACCUGUUUUCAAUAUAAAUACUUCAGCCAAAACUAAUGUAUAUAGACUUACAAAAUGCUUUACCCAGCAUCAUCUUAUUCUAAUCAGAGUUGUUCCACAAACACACAAAUAUGCCAGUGAACCCAUGCUAAUGAAACCCAAUCAACUUUUCAUGUUCUAUACCAUCCUAAAGCAGCUUACUUCAGGUUAUAGGCUGUUGACAUGGACAUUUGAAGACACUGCUAUGCACCAAUUAUGUGUCAGUAGCUUGGAGAGUUGGGGCAGGGUUUUCCAGAAGGUAGUAUAAACUGUUACUCAGCUUCUAGUAUUUGGUAUUAUUUCUCUUAUCGUCAAAAUUUACAGGUACAGGAUCAUAAGAUAAAAAUGAGUAUGAUUCCAUUCACUAUUACCCUCAGUCUACCACUGGGAAAAACAUUUACUUACUGUUCUCUUAACGUUAAGUUCUGGUGGCCUAGAAGAUUUGGUUCCAUAGAGAGAAGCAUUUCUGCUAAGAGACACAGCAUCCCAGUGAACUAGAAGUAUAGACUUCCUACUGGUCACUUUUAGCUUAAUAAGAAAGGGAUAAUAGUGUAAGGACAGGUGAUUGACCCAGAUUACCAAUGGGAAAUUUUAUGGCUUUUCUACAAGUAGAUAUAAGAAAAAUUAUAUCAGAAGUAAAGGAGAUUCUUUAGGCUGUAUUAUAGUUCUAUCAUGGCUUGUGACUAAAGUCAGUGGAGAACCACAACACAAUUGAAGGUGACAAAGUGCCCAGACCAUUAAGAAAUAAAAAUAUGAGUCAGUCCUCCAGAAAAAAAAAUACCUGCUAAAGCUUCUUUUAAACAUUAAACACACACACACACACACACACACACACACACACAACACACACACACAUAUAUAUAUAUGAAAUUUUAACCCAAAUCCCUUUACAAAAAUAUAAACAAAUGGUCAAAUAUUGUGAUGCAACUAUCAUCUUCAUAGAUGAAAUAAGAUGCAGCUAGAUAAUUUACAUGUAUUAUAAUAGGAAAAAGACUUUCAUGCCAAAGCUUAUAAUUUAGUUCCAAUAAAUCUAUAUAUUACAUCU
ensembl:lincRNA Gm14929 predicted gene 14929